rnacentral:rRNA from 1 species
CUGGGGCCUCGGCCUUGGAUUGUAGCCUCUAGACAUAGUGCCAACGGAGGCGCAGGUGCAAGCCUCUUGGAAAAGAGCAUCAAUGUGGGUGAGAAUCCUGUGUUUCACUUGCAGUCCACCGUGCACGGCACAUGUUCUCAGAGUCGCGUUCCUCGGAAUUGGAGCGUAAAGUGGGUGGUAAAUUUCAUCUAAAGCUAAAUAUAGGCUUGAGACCGAUAGCAAACAAGUACCAUGAGGGAAAGAUGAAAAGGACUUUGAAAAGAGAGUUAAAAGUGCUUGAAAUCGCUGAAAGGGAAGCGAAUGGAACCAGUCUUCUGGCUGAGAUUGUUGCGUGCUACUGUGAUGCCUGGCUGCUUCAACGCAAGUGUUGUAGUUAGAGUUGAUCAGCUGUGCGUGAUGUUUCUCAGCUUGUUAGUCAACCUUUGUUCGUGCUUGGGGAUAACUGCAGGUACCNUGCUCUUCCCUGCGGGGUUGAUCUCGUGCUUGUUAGGACUCAGGUGUGUACACUUGGUGACAAAAUGGUUCUCUUCGACCCGUCUUGAAACACGGACCAAGGAGUCUAGCACAUGUGCAAGUUCACAGGUGGCAAGCCUGCUUGCGCAAUGAAGGUGACUGCUGGGAUAUUUGCACCAGCAACCGACCAAUCAAUUGAGAGAA